CUGCCCACUCAGGUUCCCGUAGCAGCUGCAGCAAUUCAAAACAGGAAGUCGCUCUCUGUUGUUCGGCGGGGACCGGAAAAGCUAAACCAAAACAAGCCGUAUUGCGUUACUGUCGCGCAGCAGAGCUUUUACAAAGUGUACAACAAGAUGAAAGAAAAAUAAAACACACGACAGAGAGAGACAGAUUCGUCGUAAGAAACCGAUUUAUUUGACGGGCUCGGCGAGACGUUUAUUUAGAAGGUAGAACGGCUGACAGAUCCGCUGCUGAAGCGCCUUACGGUGUCUGGUCUUCUUCGGAGAAUGAGAAGGCUUUCCGGUGCUGUCCACAAGUGUCGUGUUUCUUUGUUUCUCCCACACCGGACAUCAUUCUCAUCAUUAAACACCAAGCACAUGAAUACCAAGGAAGAGAAGGCCAGGUAAAGAUAUGGCAUAUUUAAAGGAAAGCGUCUGCAAGCGUAUUCAUUGACAAGAAAGCAUGAUUGAAAUGGAGAGAGAAAGAGGAAUGAAGGGAGGAACAGAGGAGGAGGAGGGAAAGAGAGGAACGGAGGAGCGAGAUAAGCCACCGGACCUUUCAAUGGAAUGUUCUGCAGUGUUUUACGACAACUUGCAGCUGCUAGGCUGACCUUGGUGUAAAGUUUAGAUCGAAGAUGGAUCUCGUCCCCAUAAAACAAGAAGUCCUACAAAUGCAAUAUGACCCUGAACAAAACAGCCCUGGUCCAGUUGGACACAGCAUUAAACCAGAAGUACCAGAGCUUGACACGUCACUCAAAUGGGAUCUACCUAGAGGCACUGAGUCUCACUGCGCAUUUGGAAGCUUUCAAAUACACCAGAGUUUCAGUCAGUUACCCAGCUUUCGGGUAAACCAGCAAACUCACCCAAGACAAGAAGCGUAUUCCUGUACCCAGCAUGGUUUCUUUCAACUCUCCAGCCACGUGAAGCGCAAAAGAAACCACGAAGGACAGAAAACGUGUCUGUGCCCUGAAUGUGGCAAGACUUUCUCUCUUAUAAAUGAGCUUAAAAUACACCUCAGAAUCCACACAGGAGAGAAACCCUAUCACUGUAGCGAAUGUGGGAAGAGUUUCAAUCAGUCAGGCAACCUGAAAACGCAUCAGCGAAUCCACACACAGGAGAAACCGUAUCACUGUCCUGAAUGUGGAAAGAGCUUCACUCAGAUCACAAACCUCAAGAACCACCUGCUGACGCACACAGGAGACAAACCACACCAGUGCACCGAAUGUGGUAAGAACUUCACACAGCUUAUCAACCUGAAAAUACACCAGCGUAUUCACACUGGAGAGAAACCGUACUCCUGUAGCGAAUGUGGGAAGAGAUUUGCACAGCUCAGCAACCUGAAAAACCAUCAGCAAAAGCACACAGGAGUGAAACCACAUCAGUGUACUGAAUGUGGGAAGGGUUUCAGUACGUUAAGAUACUUCAAAAAACACCAGCAAAAUCAUGCAAGAGAGAGAAGAUAGAUAGCUCUGUGCAGUUUCGUCGGUUCAACAGACAGCAUUUUAUAAUCCACUCUGGCAUAAGCCAAAAUAUUGUAUUGUAAGUAUUCCAGUAAAAAAAAAAAAAAAUCUGAAAAAAGGCAGAAUAUACAACAGGGUUCAUUGCUCCCAAGUAAUACAGAUUAACAACACUUUGCAGACUUGGAUACUCAUUUGAAGUAGUUAACUAGCUUUUAAACAAGGGUUAGAUCAGUAUAUUCAGCUCAUCAUUGGGAGCCAUGUUGACGUGGAGUCCGCAGGUUCUGCCCAGCAGCACUGGAUGUUAGAUGACCUAAGUGCUGCUUGCCAUGUCCCAUAUUUAUAAGAAACUAUCACAAGAUUUCACCUCCACCCUUCUCACUCCCAUCCCCCUGGGGUCAUGGUUGCUGCAGGUUAUACAAAGAGGUUGUUACAGCACUUGCCCCAUGUGUGUUCUUAGGGUGUUUUCUGUUCCUGCAAUAAAGAUUAUUGCUUGUUACAAGUUUCUGUUUAACAUUUGCUGCUUCCUUACUCAAAAUAGUUGCACCUUUGAUCUAAAUUAAGGUGUUGUUAUACAUUUUCUCUACAAGGUUAAUGCAGUAGGAUCCUUUUUAUACUGGUUUAACUGAAAGUAUGGUAUCUCAAAAUAUGGUUCUACUACAUUGUAGUUGCUUUGUUAACAUUGGGGCAUUAUAAAUGAAUAAUAUCAGGUACAUCAUUGUGUCUAAAACACCAAAGUAUGGUACUGCACAUAUACUAUCAAAGAAGAUUAGUGAAAAUUAUUGCAAAAACAAAACACUGUAAUGCAGUAUUUGGCAAUUUGCAAAACAGCAUUCCAAAAACAGUUCUUGAUUUCACAGUCCACGUCAAAGUAGCCCAAUAGUUGUUUUUUUUUCCACUGUAAGUGUAAACCCAAAACAGAAAUGGCGUUAAAAUAAAAGAAGAAGAAGAAGAAAAAGAAAGUCUGCACACAAACAAUCUUGUUUCAGCUUUUUUAACGGUACUGAACAUGGUUAAACUGGGCAGUUACCUGAAGUGAUAGAAUGUACAUAGUGAAAAUGAACUCUUUUUUUUUUAUCUGCAACUGAAUCCAUUCUCUCCUGCUGAGAGCUGAAUUUACUGUUUAAGAUCCACAAUAAAAUGUGCAUUGAUCAGUUUCCAUCAGUAUCGUUAAGUUGGUAGCAGCAGCAUGUGCAAAACUCUCUGUGUCUAAGUCUAUUUCUGUGUCUAAGUUUAUCUCUGUCUAUCUCUCUGUCUAAGUCUAGCACUAUGUCUACAGUGAGUCUGUCUCUGUUUAAGUCACUUUCUACGCCAGAAAUCCAUCAGUUAAUAGAGGGGAUUAGAUAUGACAUGUUCUACUGUAGUAGGAUAAUCAUAUAGGCUAAUAAGCUUCACUUUACUUACCUUACUUUGACUGGAACAGUUAGGCAUGUCAAAUAAUUACUUUAGUAGAAACAACAAAGAAUCUUACAGGAUCAGAUUUUAAAUACAUAAGAAUUAAAUAUUAGGAAAAAGCUUGUAUUAAAAAGUAAACUUUAACUUCAAAGAAUGUCUGAUAUGUAAAUAUUGUUUUCUUAUCUCGUCUCUUUUUUAUGAUGUUUGCAAACAGUCCUGUUGUUCUAAUAUUGCUGUUUUUUAAAUAUUUUUUUUUUCUCUAUUGCUUAAUCUUACUGGCUGUAAAUAAAUGGCACUUUUCCAAAACCUUUGAGUGACUUAUAAUCAGACUUACAAGCAGAAUUGUAUAUUGGUCGUAUUAGUGAGGUCAUUUAAUCCAGGUUGUAGUUUUUAUUAGGGACUGCAAAUGGUGGCUGUAAUAAGAUCUGGGAUCAAUUACAAUUGUAGUUGAACCUUGGCACACCUGUGUAAUUGUAUUUGUAAUUGUAAUUAUCAUAUAAUUGAUCAAUUACAUGCCUUUCCAAGCUUAAUCAUUCGCAGUUCCAUGUUGUGUUUUACACUGAGCGAACAUUCUUGUAUUAUGAACCACCUUUCCCAUGGGUUUGAAAAAACGUUCUAUGGUAUGUUUCUGUGUUUGUACCUGCGAUUACUGCUGGGUAGAAUAGACAGAGUGUUACUUUGUAGUGCAAUUGUAACUAUAAUCGCAAUCACUGCAGCAUAAUUGUAACUGUAAUUAUAAUUGAACAAAAUAUCAUUGGAAUUGGAAUUUCAACUUCAGCAAACAAUUCUGCUGUAAUUGUAAAUGUAAUUGUAAUUAUAAUUGACCCCCAGGCCUGGCUGUAAGCCGUAAUAUCGGGUUAGCCUUUAUAUUGAAGGUCUUUUAACAUUGAAUUCAAUGGAAACAAAUCUGGAUUUUUGUACCGAGAUGGCUGUGCAUUGUUUGUCCACAUAGAAUUUUAGAAAUCAUUGUACAUGUAAAGGAGUCACCCUCCUAUAUUUUCAAUGCAAAAUGUACCAGUUCAAGUUUGUCUGCGAAAUGUAUAGUCCUAGGAAGGUUUUAUUUUUUCUUUAAUUAACCAGAUAAUUGAAAGAAAAUGUCAACUUUAAUUGUUUGUUUUUGAUCAUGCCUUGUAGUUUUUAAUCAACUGUUGAACUAACUAAAGACUCUCUGUUUUAUCAAAAUCAAGUGUGUGUUUAUUUAUUUAUUUAGCCUUUUUUGUUAUAGGACAGUUUUACAUCAAUAGCUCAUUGGGCACAUACAUAAUGUUAUUUACAUUUGAAAUAGUGAGCAGAUAGGUUUGUUUUUGUUUGAGUAGUAUUGUUCCUUGGGAUAACAAAAUACUGAGCUCAAGUCAUGUGAUUUCAUACAAAUGCCAGGUGCUCAGUGUUUGGUAUAUCAGUUGAGUUAAAAUUGUGAAAAUGAGUUGAUAAAGAAUCUGUAUAAAUAGCCAUUUGAAGAGACAUGAUUUUAUUUAACGCAAGAACAGCAAAAGAUAGGACCAUGUCCCGCUUGAGUAAUGAAGCUUGCCUGGUUGCUAUCAGCAUGAAGGUGGCCUUUCUGAGAGAAGAUGCCUGGAGAAUGAGAUGUUCUGCUUCAACAAUCAGCAGACUAGCUCUGUGAGGGACAGGCCAUGUCCUGGAAGGCAGAGGGUCACCACAACGGCCCAAGACUGUCACAUCCGACUGAUCCAUCUGCGUAAUCAUUUUCAGACUGCAGUGGCUACAGCACAAGAAAUUCCAGGAAGAAAUAACCCACACAUCAGCAGAAUGACUGUAGCUCGUCGUCUGUAUGAAAAUGAUUUGCAUGCUCGGAGGCUGUUCAGGGGUAACAGCUGAGAGAUGAAAUCGCGGUCUUCUGUGGGCCAGAGAGUGGUGGAGUGUUUUAUUCACCAAUGAAUGCCGUUUUGCCAUUGACAGACCUGACAGAAGACAAUGUGUGUGAAGAUUUCGUGGUGAGCAUUAUGCUGUUGCAUUGUUCAAGCCAACCGGUGGGGCGGUGGAAGUGUGAUGAUGUGGGGAGGAAUCUCCUUUAACACAAGAAAGUCUUUGGUGCAGAUUUAGGGCAACCUUACUGCUCAGCAAUACAUUGAUGAAGUCCUUAAGGCAACAGUUUUUCCGUUCUUGCAAGCCAGACAGUGCUAGGAUUACAAUUGCAGGACUUCAAGAAAACAAUGUCAAGGUCUUGCCAUGGCCAGCUUUUUCUCCUGAUCUGAGUCCAAUAGAACAUCUGUGGGACCAAAUUGACAGUGCCUUCCACAGGAGACAACCGCGAACAGCCAACCUUCAGCAGCUGGCUGCAGCUGCCCAGCAAGAGUGGCGGAACAUACAGUACACCCCCUUUCAAAAUGUUCACCUUUUGUUGCCUUAUAGCCUGGAAUUAAAAUGCAUUACAUUUUUUUUUUCAUUUAUCUACACAUCCUACCCCACAACUUCCGAGUGAAAAAAAUAUUCUAGAAAUUUGUAGAAAAUUAAUUAAAAAUAAAAACUGAAAUAGCUUGGUUGGAUAAGUGUCCACCCACCUUCUAAUAGCAAUCCUAAAUUAGCUCAGGUGUAACCAAUCGCCUUCAAAAUCACACACCAAGUUAAGUGGCCUCCACCUGUGUUAAAUUCUAGUGAUUCACAUGAUUUCAGAAUAAAUUCAGCAGUUCCUGUAGGUUCCCUCUGCUGGGUAGUGCAUUUCAAAGCAAAGACUCAACCAUGAGCACCAAGGAGCUUUCAAAAGAACUCCGGGACAAAUUUGUUCAAAGGCACAGAUUAGGGGAUGGGUAUAAAAAAAACAUCAAAGGCCUUGAAUAUCCCUUGGAGCACGGUCAAGACGAUUAUUAAGAAGUGGAAGGUGUAUGGCACCACCAAGACCCUGCCUAGAUCAGGCCGUCCCUCCAAGGAGAGGCUACCAAGACUUUGCAAGAGUUACAGGCUUUAAUGGCCAGUACUCGUCAAAGUGUGCAUGUGCCAACAAUAUCCCAAGCACAAAUUUGGCCUGUAUGGUAGGGUGGCAAGAAGGAAGCCAUUACUCAAGAAAGCCCACCUUAAAUCCCGUUCGAAGUAUGCAAAAAAACAUUCAGGAGAUUCUGUAGCCAUGUGGCAAAAAGUUUUGUGGUCUGACGAAACUAAAAUGGAACUUUUUGGCCUAAAUGAAAAGCGUUAUGUUUGGCGCAAACCCAACACAGCUCAUCACCCAAAGAACACCAUCCAUACUGUGAAGCAUGGUGGUGGCAGCAUCAUGUUAUGGGGAUGUUUCUCAUCGGCAGGGACUGGGGCACUUGUCAGGAUAGAAGGGACCAUGAAUGGAGCAAAGUACAGAGAAGUCCUUGAGGAAAACCUGCUUCCCUCUACAAGAAAGCUGAAACUGGGAUGAAAGUUCACCUUUCAGCAUGACAACAUAAGAACAUAAGAAAGUUUACAAACGAGAAGAGGCCAUUCAGCCCAUCUUGCUCGUUUGGUUGUUAGUAGCUUAUUGAUCCCAGAAUCUCAUCAAGCAGCUUCUUGAAAGAUCCCAGGGUGUCAGCUUCAACAACAUUACUGGGGAGUUGGUUCCAGACCCUCACAAUUCUCUGUGUAAAAAAGUGCCUCCUAUUUUCUGUUCUGAAUGCCCCUUUAUCUAAUCUCCAUUUGUGACCCCUGGUCCUUGUUUCUUUUUUCAGGUCAAAGAAGUCCCCUGGGUCGACAUUGUCUAUACCUUUUAGAAUUUUGAAUGUUUGAAUCAGAUCGCCGAGUAGUCUUCUUUGUUCAAGACUGAAUAGAUUCAAUUCUUUUAGCCUGUCUGCAUACGACAUGCCUUUUAAACCCGGGAUAAUUCUGGUUGCUCUUCUUUGCACUCUUUCUAGAGCAGCAAUAUCCUUUUUGUAACGAGGUGACCAGAACUGAACACAAUAUUCUAGAUGAGGUCUUACUAAUGCAUUGUAGUUUUAACAUUACUUCCCUUGAUUUAAAUUCAACACUUCUCACAAUAUAUCCGAGCAUCUUGUUGGCCUUUUUUAUAGCUUCCCCACAUUGUCUAGAUGAAGACAGUUCUGAGUCAACAUAAACUCCUAGGUCUUUUUCAUAGUUCCCUUCUUCAAUUUCAGCAUCUCCCAUAUUAUAUUUAUAAUGAACAUUUUUAAUGCCUGCAUGCAAUAUUUUACACUUUUCUCUAUUAAAUGUCAUUUGCCAUGUGUCUGCCCAGUUCUGAAUGGUGUCUAGAUCAUUUUGAAUGACCUUUCCUGCUGCAACAGUGUUUGCCACUCCUCCUAUUUUUGUGUUGUCUGCAAAUUUAACAACGACCCAAUGCACAGAGUCAAAGCUACACUGGAGUGGAUAAGGAACAAAAUGGUAAAUGUCCUUCAGAGUCCCAGUCAGAGUUCCAACUUAAAUGCAAUCGAAAAUUUGUGGCAUGACUUGAACUCUGCUGUCCAUCAAUGCUCCCCUAGGAACUUGACAGAGCUUGCACAGUUUUCUAAAGAAUAAUGGUCAAAUAUUGCCAAAUCUAGGUGUGUAAAGUUGGUAGAGACCUAUCCCAACAGACUCACAACUGUAAUUGCUGCCAAAGGUGCUUGCACGAAGUAUUUUGUACUUGUACUUUGCUUGAACAAAAGUUAUUGUAUUUCUUGCUCUUAUUGUAUUGUAACACUUGAAAUGUAUUUGCUUACGAUUGUAAGUCACCCUGGAUAAGGGCGUCUGCUAAGAAAUAAAUAAUAAUAAUAAUAAU